rnacentral:rRNA from 1 species
AGAAUCAACGCUGGCGGCGUGCCUAACACAUGCAAGUCGAACGAGAAAGUGGAGCAAUCCAUGAGUAAAGUGGCGACCGGGUGAGUAACACGUGACUAACCUACCUUCGAGUGGGGGAUAACCUCGGGAAACCGGGGCUAAUACCGCAUAACAUCUUUGGAGUGGAAAUUCUGGAGAUCAAAGGAGCAAUUCGCUGGAAGAGGGGGUCGCGGCUGAUUAGCUAGUUGGCGGGUAACGGCCCACCAAGGCUUAGAUCGGUAGCCGGCCUGAGAGGGCGCACGGCCACACUGGAACUGAAACACGGUCCAGACUCCUACGGGAGGCAGCAGUGGGGAAUUUUGCGCAAUGGGGGAAACCCUGACGCAGCAACGCCGCGUGGAGGAUGAAGUCCCUUGGGACGUAAACUCCUUUCGACCCGGACGAUAAUGACGGUACGGGUGGAAGAAGCCCCGGCUAACUUCGUGCCAGCAGCCGC